UAAUUGGUCUACAUCAGGCCCUGUGAGAGC
rnacentral:sRNA from 1 species